rnacentral:rRNA from 1 species
UACGUAGGGUGCAAGCGUUGUCCGGAAUUAUUGGGCGUAAAGAGCUCGUAGGCGGUCUGUCGCGUCGGCUGUGAAAACCUGGGGCUCAACCCCAGGCCUGCAGUCGAUACGGGCAGACUAGAGUCCGGCAGGGGAGACUGGAAUUCCUGGUGUAGCGGUGAAAUGCGCAGAUAUCGGGAGGAACACCGGUGGCGAAGGCGGUUCUCUGGGCCUUACCUGACGCUGAGGAGCGAAAGCGUGGGGAGCGAACAGG